UGGCCGCGGUAACUUGACCGUGCAAAGGUAGCAUAAUUAUUAGUCUUUUAAUUGAAGGCUUGUAUGAACGAUUGGAUGAAAAAUAAACUUUAUUAAUUUAAAUUAUUUAACUUAUCAUUUAAGUAAAAAUUCUUAAAUAAAUAAGUGGGACGAGAAGACCCUAUAGAGUUUUAUAUUCUUUAUUAUUAUUAAAUUGAAGAAUUAAUAUUUUAUUGAUAAUAUAAAAUAUUUUAUUGGGGUGAUAUUAAAAAUUAUUAAACUUUUAAUGGAUAUUUCAUUAAUAUGUGUUUAAUUGAUCCGAAAAUUUCGAUUGUAAGAUUAAAUUACCUUAGGGAUAACAGCGUUAUUAAUUUGGAGAGCUCAAAUCGAUAAAUUAGUUUGCGACCUCGAUGUUGGAUUAAGAAUAUGUUUUAGAGCAGUAUUUAAAAUUAUAGGUCUGUUCGACCUUUAAAUUCUUACGUGAUCUGAGGUUCACACCGGA
rnacentral:rRNA from 1 species